AAAUCAAUUUGGGCUUCUUCCUACUUAUAAGUAUUAACACUUGCAAGGUUAUUUUUGCAUCUUUUUGUUCAUUUUGAUCAGUUAUAGUGCUGAAAAUUCUGUAGUCUUGCACUUUAAAUGCCAGCUUUCCUUAAAUUUAGUGUGUCCCAUUUGGGGAAGGAGUUUGUAGUUUAAAUGGAAACUUUUGCUGUACAACAUGACUUUGGAAAACAGCCACAGGAGUGUUUUUAGAUUGCAUAGGACUUGGCAAAAAAAAAUUGAAAAAUGACAUUUAAAAAAUUUAAUCUUAGGAUUUUAACACCUUAUAGAAGAAAAGAGGGAAUGUUAUUAUAUCACCCUUUCUCCAUGAUAUGGUUUUCUUAACGGAGAACAGUAUAUGUUUAAAUAAUAACUUAUUCCGUAUUGUCUAUUUUAAAAGGAUAUUCUAUCAGCUUGGAUGCUUUGCAACAGCAUGUAAUAGAAAAUACUAACUCAAACUGACUUAAGCAAUAAAGAUAUUGCUUCAUACACACAGAAGUCCAGAGGUUGAGUAAGCCUAGAGCCCUCCACAGUGUAGCCAGGCUGUUCAGGACCCAAGUUCAUCCCAUCACUUGUCACCGCCAUGCUAACAGGGCUGGUUUUGCUCUCAGACUGACUCCCUCUCUGGUAGAGAGACGGCUUCAGCGGUUCCAGGCAUCACAUUCAGAUGUAACGUCAUCAAGAGAACAAAGAGAAACCAUCUCUUUUCCUGGCUGUUUCUUGAGAGUGAGAAAACUUCCCUAAAGGGUCCCGUAAGACCAACUCUCACAUCUUAUUGGCCAGAUGUGGGUCACAUGCCCAUUUCUAAACCAAUCACUGAUGAGAGAAGUGGAAUUAUCAUGCUUUGCUUAGCCAGAGUAGAGUUUAUUACCUACAAUUGGGGAUAGAAUCACCUUUUCAUGCAGCACAUGUCUUUAUGGAGAGCAGAUACCCGAAUGUAAUUAGAUUCUGCUAAAAGAAAGAAAAAAAAAGUUGGAAAGUGAGAAAAUCAAUGCUGGGUAGGCAACUGGAAUUCCUGCGGCAAUCUCCAAUAUAGAAAACGUUCCCCUUAAAUGUUGCUAUGUCUUAUCUCAAGUAAAUAUGAUUUUUUUUCACGUGACAUAAUUUAUUAUUUUGUUUACUACGAUUACGUGUAUUUCCUCAAGCUUCCCAUAUAGAAUAUAUGCCUGAUGGCUCGUUGUAUCACUGUGGUAAGUAGUUAUCUGGAAAUAUAUUUUUUCAAAUACAAUUAUAAGCACUUUAUUUAUUUUAUUUUGUAUGUAUUUAUUUAUUUUGAGACGGAGUUUUGCUCUUGUUGCCUAGGCUGGAGUGCAAUGGCGCGAUCUUGGCUCACCACAACCUCCGCCUCCCAGGUUCCAGAGAUUCUCCUGCCUCAGCCUCCUGAGGAGCUGGGAUUACAGGCAUGCACCACCACACCUGGCUAAUUUUGUAUUUUUAUUAGAGACAGGGUUUCUCCAUGUUGGUCAGGCUGGUCUCGAACUCCCGACCUCAGGUGAUCCGCCUGCCUAGGCCUCACAAAGUGCUAGGAUUACAGACGUGAACCACUGCGUCUGGCCAUAAGCAAUUUAUAUGUAUUGUAACUCUUUUAAUCUUCACCACAACCCUUUGAAAUAGAUAUUACUAGUAUUCCCAUUUUAUAUAUGAGUAAACUGAAAGACAGAAAGGGUAAAUAAUUUGCCUAAAGUCACCUGCAAGUGAAUGCGUUUUGAGCUAUUGAGAGUAAGUAAAAGGAGAGGUAUGUAAAUAUUUCUUCCGAUAUGGAAGUGUUGGGAAGGGAAGAGCGUGGUCCCUUUAAAUGAUACGGAAGCGGGGAAGGGUGUGGUCCCUGACUAGGGCUGAACUCCCAUGGACAUAGGUGAGGACAAGCAUUUUGAGAGAGAGAGAGAGAGAGAGAGAGAGAGAGAGAGAGAGAGAGACACGCAGGCUACCGAACAGCAGAACCACGCAGAGCUUGGCUGGGGCAAUUGGAGGAAGGACAGGGAGUGGCCUGAUUCCCGGCGAAAAGCAUCUCUCUUCUGGCUCCCCCAUCUGCUGAGAGCUACUUCCACUCAAUAAAACCUUGCACUAAUUCUCCAAGCCCAUGUAUCAUCCGAUUCUUCCGGUAAACCAGGGCAAAAUCCCGGGAUACAGAAAUCUCUCUGUCCUAGCGACAAGGUACAGGGUCCAAUUGAGCUGGUUAACACAGGCCGCCUAUAGAUGGCAAAACUAAAAGAGCACACUGUAAUACACGCCCACUAGGGCUUCAGCUGUAAGUAUUCACCGCUAGACACUGCUGUGGGGUCGGAGCCCCAUAGCCUGCCCGUCUGAAUGCUCUCCUAGAGGUUUGAGCAGUGGGACACUAAAGAAACGAGCCACACCCUCAUCGCAUGCCCUGCGAGGGGGACAAGGGAACUUUUCCCCUUUCACUUGGAUCCUUUCCCCUAAACUAAUAUUAUCAAGGUCCUCUAAUCAUACAAACUGAAAUGAUUUGAAGAGGGCAAAAUACCCUUUCAAAAGUUGGAAAUAUUUUCUGUCAUUUAAAUGGGUGAGACUUACAUUUAUCUGUAGGGCAAUGUAUUAUUAAGGUUACCACACAAAUGGCCUUUUAGUCACGUAAAUAAAAAUAAGAGAUUUUUCUCUGAAAUAGAAACUUUUGAAAUAAGAAGUAACCUGAGUUACUUUCACUAUUCAACAACUUAAAAACUGUAUGGUAGGCUUAUCUUUUUUUUGAAACAGAGUCUCACUCUGUCACCCAGGCUGGAGUGCAGUGGCACAAUCUCAGCUCACUGCAACCUCCGCCUCCCGGGUUCAAGCAAUUUUCCUGCCUCAGCCUCCCGAGCAGCUGGGACUACAGGCGCCUGCUACCACGCCCGGCUAAUUUGUGUAUUUUUAGUAGAGACGGGGUUUCACCAUAUUGGCCAGGCUGAUCUCGAACUCCUGACCUUGUGAUCCGCCUACCUCGGUCUCCCAAAGUUCUGGGAUUACAGGCGUGAGCCACCGCACCCGGCCGUAGGUUUAUCUUGCAAUUUGAUUGACUUAGCAAAGUCAAUUCAUUGGUCAAGACAAAAUUAGUUUCUGUAUCAAGAGAAAAUUAGUUUCUGUGGUAUUGUAUUUUCCUGAUUCAUAAUGUUUUCAAUCUUGUCUAAAAGAAAGAUACAAGAAAAAUAUGUAUCAAGCUAAUCUUAUGGCAUUAAAGUUUUAAAAUGUAAUUAUAAUUAAAGAUUAGCAGACAACCUCCUAUCCCCAAAUAUAACAAUCUGCCUCCAUCUGUGUCUCCUUUAACCCUAUUCUAUUAACUCAGUUGGUUCUUAAUGCCUAAAGUGUUAUCUAAAUGCUCAGUGAAUAUUUAAAUUCAAAAUGUUUGUUCAACUUAAAUACUCAUGGAUUGAUGCAAAACAGCUUUUUAGAGUGCUGAUUGGAAGUUGUUUUUACUAGCCACCGUUCUAGCCCAAGAGCUGAAUUCUUAAGACAACCAUGCCAGGGCAGUUCUCCAUCCAACAUUGUGCCAGACUCACAGAAUCCCACUUGACCACCCACCCACGUGGGCAUUGUUCUGAUUCAGAAGUCAUUUUUAGAGACUCUCUUAAAAAAAUUACUUGUCAAAAUGUAAUUAUAUAAAUCUUUGCAAAUAGCUAAUAAAAACCAUUAACAAUGACAGCUAACUCAUAGGGCAUUUCUAAAAAAAUAGAAUGUUACUUUUAAAUUAGUCCUUCUUGCUGGUAUAUUGAAAUGUUUAGAAUUUUAAGUAAAUCAUCUUUAAGACCCCUUAACA
rnacentral:lncRNA from 1 species